GCCAGCGUAGCUCAGCCUGGUUAGAGGGAAACCGACUCCAGCACCUGCCUUGUAAGCAGGGGGUCGCGAGAUCGAAUCUCGCCGCUGGCU
rnacentral:tRNA from 1 species